UGGGGAAUUUUGGACAAUGGGGGAAACCCUGAUCCAGCCAUCCCGCGUGUGCGAUGAAGGCCUUCGGGUUGUAAAGCACUUUUGGCAGGAAAGAAACGUCAUGGGUUAAUACCCCGUGAAACUGACGGUACCUGCAGAAUAAGCACCGGCUAACUACGUGCCAGCAGCCGCGGUAAUACGUAGGGUGCAAGCGUUAAUCGGAAUUACUGGGCGUAAAGCGUGCGCAGGCGGUUCGGAAAGAAAGAUGUGAAAUCCCAGAGCUCAACUUUGGAACUGCAUUUUUAACUACCGGGCCAGAGUGUGUCAGAGGGAGGUGGAAUUCCGCGUGUAGCAGUGAAAUGCGUAGAUAUGCGGAGGAACACCGAUGGCGAAGGCAGCCUCCUGGGAUAACACUGACGCUCAUGCACGAAAGCGUGGGGAGCAAACAGG
rnacentral:rRNA from 1 species